GACGAACCGUGCGAACGUUAUUCGGAAUCACUGGGCUUAAAGCGCGUGUAGGCGGGGCGGCACGUCGGUCGCUGAAAGCCCCCGGCUCAACCGGGGAAGUGGCGCCGAUACGACCGCCCUGGAGGGACGUAGGGGGACCUGGAACUUCCGGUGGAGCGGUGAAAUGCGUUGAGAUCGGAAGGAACGCCCGUGGCGAAAGCGAAGG
rnacentral:rRNA from 1 species